rnacentral:lncRNA from 1 species
ACAAAGGGGAGAGAAGGUCCUGCUGUCUAUGGGCAAGCCUGAGCACAGAGGCUGCUCUGCUGGUGGGGGUGGGGUCACUUCUCUCAGCCCCAGACUGUCAGCUCUCAGGAUUAUCCACCUCGGCUCCUGGUUGCAGCAACUGCUGUGGCAGUAUGUGGAGCGAGCACCUCUGGCUCCCAACUUCUCCUGACUGAGCUGGCCACUCGCUUCCUUCUCCUCUGUGCCUCAGGCGCUUGCUGAGACUUCUCUGUUGGACUCUAGUGCUCUCUCCUGGAUGUUCUAUUCGAGCUCUGCCGCACUAAGCUCUCUACAUGGCCGAGGCACCAGACCAGAAUGCGCCCUUUCGACAGGCAGAGAGAGCCAAAGGGGAAAAGAGCUGAGUCAAGGCUGCCAAGUUCCUGCUUCCAGCCCUACCAGCCGGUCACUCGCGCCUUGCAAUGAGGAAACCAGGAGUCCUAUCUAGAGCCUUUCCAUAGUUGUGGGAAAGAAGAUGGGUAAAGUUAUUGUUAAUCUACAGAGGAAGGAAUGAUGCCAAGUUUUUCAAGGCUUCCAGAGUCACAGGAGGAGUCACUUGGUAAAUCCAGGAGCAGAAACCAGAGGCAGCAAAGCAGUCUUCGUGCAUGCUACACAUCUGAUUUUUCUCUUCCCAAUGCUGUUUUUUUCAGUUCGUGCUUCAUUAGUAAAAAUAUGUGUCCUAAUUUAAAACACACUCA